rnacentral:rRNA from 1 species
UACGUAGGGGGCUAGCGUUGUCCGGAAUCAUUGGGCGUAAAGAGCGUGUAGGCGGUCCGGUAAGUCCGCUGUGAAAGUCGGGGGCUCAACCCUCGAAUGCCGGUGGAUACUGUCGGGCUAGAGUGCGGAAGAGGCGAGUGGAAUUCCUGGUGUAGCGGUGAAAUGCGCAGAUAUCAGGAGGAACACCUAUUGCGAAGGCAGCUCGCUGGGACGUAACUGACGCUGGAGGCGCGAAAGCUAGGGGAGCAAACAGG